GGGAUGCCGGUUAAUAGCCGGCCGCCGUGAGGCGAGGAACAGGGCCACAGAGACGAGCGUAUUAAGUUACGGUGAAACGCGGUAACCUCCAUCCGGAGCAAGACCAAAUAGGCAGACGAUGACGUUGCUCGCUGAGUCUGCGGGUAGGUUGCUUGAGCACACGAGUAACCGUGUGCCUAGAGGAAUGACUGUCCACGACAGAACCCGGCUUAUCGGCCAGCUUCACUU
rnacentral:RNase_P_RNA from 1 species